CGCGUGAGGAACCUGCCUUUCAGAGGGGGACAACAGUUGGAAACGACUACUAAUACCGCAUAACAUAUGUUUNUCGCAUGGCAGAUAUAUCAAAGAUUUAUCGCUGAGAGAUGGCCUCGCGUCUGAUUAGCUAGUUGGUAGGGUAACGGCCUACCAAGGCGACGAUCAGUAGCCGGACUGAGAGGUUGGCCGGCCACAUUGGGACUGAGAUACGGCCCAGACUCCUACGGGAGGCAGCAG
rnacentral:rRNA from 1 species